AGAGUUUGAUCCUGGCUCAGGAUGAACGCUGGCGGUAUGCCUAACACAUGCAAGUCGAACGGGGUACUUUCGGGUACCUAGUGGCGGACGGGUGAGUAACGCGUGAGAAUCUGGCUAUAGGUUCGGGACAACAUUGGGAAACUGAUGCUAAUACCGGAUGUGCCGAGAGGUGAAAGCUUAAUGCGCCUAUAGAUGAGCUCGCGUCCGAUUAGCUAGUAGGUGAGGUAAGAGCUCACCUAGGCCAUGAUCGGGU
rnacentral:rRNA from 1 species